CACUUAUUCAGAGCUACCGAGGCUAGUGACCGAAGACGUAGCAGCAACCUAUUUAAAUUAGGUGCUAAAGUACGAGGGGUUAAGUGACCCAUCAAUAAGGA
rnacentral:ncRNA from 2 species